UUUACACAUGCAAGUCGAACGGUAACAGGGUGCUUGCACCGCUGACGAGUGGCGAACGGGUGAGUAAUGCGUCGGAACGUGCCGAGUAGUGGGGGAUAACGCAGCGAAAGUUGUGCUAAUACCGCAUACGUACUGAGGUAGAAAGUGGGGGACCUUCGGGCCUCACGCUAUUCGAGCGGCCGACGUCUGAUUAGCUAGUAGGUGAGGUAAAGGCUCACCUAGGCGACGAUCAGUAGCGGGUCUGAGAGGAUGAUCCGCCACACUGGGACUGAGACACGGCCCAGACUCCUACGGGAGGCAGCAGUGGGGAAUUUUGGACAAUGGGCGCAAGCCUGAUCCAGCCAUGCCGCGUGUCUGAAGAAGGCCUUCGGGUUGUAAAGGACUUUUGUCGGGGAGGAAAUCCCUAGCGUUAAUACCGCUGGGGGAUGACAGUACCUGAAGAAUAAGCACCGGCUAACUACGUGCCAGCAGCCGCGGUAAUAAAAAAAAUA
rnacentral:rRNA from 1 species